rnacentral:rRNA from 1 species
GCGAACGCUGGCGGCAGGCUUAACACAUGCAAGUCGAGCGGGCACUUUCGGGUGUCCGCGGCGGACGGGUGAGUAACGCGUGGGAACGUGCCCUCUGGUUCGGAAUAACUCAGGGAAACUUGAGCUAAUACCGGAUACGCCCUUUUGGGGAAAGGCUUGCUGCCGGAGGAUCGGCCCGCGUCUGAUUAGCUAGUUGGUGAGGUAACGGCUCACCAAGGCGACGAUCAGUAGCUGGUCUGAGAGGAUGAUCAGCCACACUGGGACUGAGACACGGCCCAGACUCCUACGGGAGGCAGCAGUGGGGAAUAUUGGACAAUGGGCGCAAGCCUGAUCCAGCCAUGCCGCGUGAGUGAUGAAGGCCUUAGGGUUGUAAAGCUCUUUUAUCCGGGACGAUAAUGACGGUACCGGAGGAAUAAGCCCCGGCUAACUUCGUG